CUUUUUCUCAGCCUGAAUGAAGUACCCUCCCUACCCUCCCAAGGCAUUAUCCAAGACCAUGAAGCCAUGGAAGGGACAUCUGCUGCAAAUUUUUCAAGCCUCCCUCCUCCUUCCCGAAGGCUCUCUCAGAUAAGGUGGCG